rnacentral:lncRNA from 1 species
CUAGGGUUGGAGGAUGACUCUAGCACCCCUUUGGUCGUCCUCCCCUCUAUUUAUUUACAUCUAGAGCCGCCAUGAACAACUGGGUUUUGAUUAGAUAAAGUUUAGCCUUCGCUACUUGCUUGUAAACGCGCGUGCUGAUCCAGCCGCCCGUCUUCUUGUUUUCGAAACCCCACUUCAUUAGAGAUUGAGUUUGAAACCUUUAUUUACAUCUAGUAUUUUAGUACUUGUUCUACUUGUUCUUGCUGGUUCUUCGAUUGCUUGCAGGACGAGUGCCCUAGUGGCCGGGUGUUGCGCUCCACAAGAUCGUGACAGCCAUUGGAGGCGGUGUAUCGGUUGCUAAGGCGCGGCCUUAGAAGGCUGUAGUCGGGCCGUGAAUGUCAUCUCCAUUCACUAAUCGAGUUAUCCAGCGCCUCUCAUCGAAAGAUCAGGCGAAAACUCUAGUGGGUUCACAUCAGUUGGUAUCAGAGCAAGGUUCUUCGGUGAGAGACUUCUAAUCCUUUGCUGUUUUUAAUUAAUUUCCUAUAGUCCAGAAAAGCCAAAAAAAUAUAGUAGAUUAGUUUUUCCAUAAUCCUAUUAAACCUUUGUGCCUUGGCUAGUACCGUUUUAGUUAGGGCUUGUUGAAUUUGCAUUGCUUCGGUUUGUGUCGAGUUGCUGGUCUUAGUGUCUAGUCCUUUAGAGUUUCGAGUUCUUGUCACCAUCUAUACACAGCCGAGUAUUACCAUAUCUUCUCUCUGUCGAAUCUGUUGUGAAGUCCGAAUUGAACUGUGAUCCAAAAAGAAAGAUAACUCCAUACUUGUUCGGCCUUACUCUAGAGAGAGAGAGAGAGAGAGAGAGAGUAGCAAAUUGCUCUUUUGUAUUCCUUUGUUCAUAUAAUCAGUUUUUGAGGUUGCCCAAAAAAAAGAAAAAAAAAGAAAAGAGAAAAGAUUCAAAAGAAAAAAAAGGGGCUGUUUUUCAUAUUGAUUUUAGGUUUCUUCCACCUUGUUUUCGGGGGUGUGCUGUGGUUUUCCUUUGUGUCCAGGCUCGCGUCUCUAGCACGGUCUAGCCUAGGACCAGCACAGUACCAUCGUCGAACGCUUAUUCAGCUCGCUUUUAUAACUAACGUGGUGCUAGUUCGUUCCUUGUUUCAGCCCACCUAUAGCUCCACAUACUCUACAGCUUGAC